AAGGUGAAAAGUUGGUAGGGGUUGGGCCCUGAACUUUCUUAAUUAUAAUAAAGAUUGACUUAAGUAGUGAUAGUUGCUGACUUUCUGUUAUGUAUAUAACUUACACAGAAUGCACAUGGUAUUUUUUUAUAUAUGUGACAUAUCUAGUGAACUAACCUCCUUUACUAGGAAAAAUUGCUUACUUACAUCGCUAUAUACUCGUUAAAUGUGUAAUCUGCAAAUUCCUUUUUUUUUUUUUUUUUUUUUCAAAUGGCGGGAGAACCCGCAGCCGUUACCUUUCAGGUGCGUACUAGGUAAACCCUUGGACUAACAGAAUAGCCUACAAACCACGCUAAUCAGGUAAACCACAAAUUCUUCUUUGCAUUGGAGGGGGCGUCUGUAAUAGUUUUAUUGCAGCUCAGUCAUGAUGAAAGGAUACAACAGCUCCCUUUUGAUCACUGAAAAGGCAAAAAUACAGUUUGAAUGCUCAAAAAGUCUGUAGUGUAAAAACAAACAAGGAAAAAAAGGUCAUGUAACCUAGUCUUUAGUUUUUACUUUUAUUUUGUUGAUUUGAC
rnacentral:lncRNA from 1 species